CCUGGGCUGCGGGGCUCAGUGCUGCCGGGCAGGGACGGGCUCGGCGCCGUGUCAGCGGGAAGGAGCUGCACCCCCCUCCCCAACCUGCAGGCCUCGGCCCCUCGGUUCCAGGCCCUCAGUCGAGGGGCCUGUAGCUUCUCCGGAAGGGGGUCCUCGGGCCUUCCUGCCGGGGACCCUGCACCUCUUUGGUUGGGGAACCUCAGGAAUGGGGUCUCGGGCCCCUUGGCCGUGGGCUCCAGGACCCUCACAGAAGCACAGGGGGAGCUGAGAGAGAAAAGCAGGGCCGGAGGGCAGUUAAAGCGCUGAAAACAUUCCACUCAGGACGUUGACAUAGGGCACAAGAGACCUCAGUGUGGGACCCACCGGGCUCAUCCCCAAAUACCGUGUGGACUGAAAAAACAAUGCACCCCCUAAAAGCUGAGGGUUAUGUUUUAUUCGGUGGACAAACCGAGGACUUAAGCCCGGACACAGCAUCUCAGAUAACUCAGGGACUGUCCUGAAGAGCCUCCUGACUGCAGGUACCCAGGUAGCCAAAACUUGGACCAAAAGGACCUCCUGGGUAUCACAGUCUUGGAAUGGGGAGAGGACGGAAAGCCAGCGUGCGGCUUUGAUAAACAUUUGCCCAGUUGGAUCGCAUUCAAGUUGCAGGUGAACGGAUAACAAACUGGGGCCCAUCCACGUGAUGGAUCAUUACUCCGGGCAUGUGACAGUGUGGAUGGACCCCAAAGCAGCACAAGGAAGGAAGGAA